rnacentral:rRNA from 2 species
GGGGCCAGUGCUUUUUCGGGAGCACGGUUUUCUGGUAACACUUAACCCAACACACGUUGUCUACAUUUUAGAUUUUGCUUAGGCACCUCUAGUGCCUAUGGCUUUAACGCUACAAACAUUUUAUUUAAUAAACACAGUCACAAAACGAUACUAAAUAUCAAAACUUUCAACAACGGAUCUCUUGGUUCUCGCAACGAUGAAGAACGCAGCGAAUUGCGAUAAGUAUUGUGAAUUGCAGAUUUUCGUGAAUCAUCGAAUCUUUGAACGCACAUUGCGCCCUGUGGUAUUCCACAGGGCAUGCCUGUUUGAGCGUCAUUUCUCCUUCAAACUUCUGUUUGGACUUGGGUGUGGAUAUGUAUAUCCUCUGCCUGAAAUAAUGGGUGGGAGCAGUGUAACUUGCUUUUAGUGACACCAAUGAGUUAGGUUCUGCCAGUUCGUUGGAAAGCUAUAAUAGUGGGAAGCUGCGCCUAAUUACCAAAGCCCAAAACAUGACCUUAAAACUUGACCUCAAAUCAGGUAGGACUACCCGC